rnacentral:rRNA from 1 species
AUUGAACGCUGGCGGCAGGCCUAACACAUGCAAGUCGAGCGAGCGGCGGACGGGUGAGUAAUGUAUGGGGACUGCCCGAUAGAGGGGGAUAACUACUGGAAACGGUAGCUAAUACCGCAUACUAUAGGAUAAGCCAUAUGGGAUUAGAGAGUAGGUGGGGAAAUGGAUCACCUCGGCGACGAUCCCUAGCUGGUGUGAGAGGAUGAUCAGCAACACUGGGACGUAGACACGGCCCAGACUCCUACGGAGGCAGCAGUGGGGAAUAUUGGACAAUGGGCGAAAGCCUGAUGCAGCCAUGCCGCGUGUAUAAAGAAGGCCCUAGGGUUGUAAAGUACUUUCAGUCGAGAAGCGUUACCGACAGAAGAAGCACCGGCUAACUCCGUGCCAGCAGCCGCGGUAAUUC